rnacentral:lncRNA from 1 species
UUUUCCGCUACCUGUGAGUUGCCUUUCUUCCAUCUGAAGUCCUUGACUCUCUCCACCCUGAACGUCUUCUUUUGUCUUUAGCUAAGGAUGGUAUUUAAGAUUUUCUGAGUACUCUCUGUAUGCAAGGCACUCUUCAAGACUUUGGAGAUAAAAAGGAGAAGAAAGAUGCAGUUCCUGUGCACAGAAUUUACAACCCAGAAAGAAGAACAAGUAAAUUGAGCCCUCCCCAUCAUCAUGAACUUUCAGUAAAGUCUGAUGCACACCAUACGUGAGAAGUUUUAAGCAGAAGAAAAGGGGAUUCCACACAAGGUGAAUGCAUGAAUAGGGCAGUAUGUUUUAGACAUGAAGCCAUCUAUAAACUGAACGAAUGCAGCAGGAACCAUAGGUAAGCAGAAUGUAAACCUCUGAGAAUUCAAAGAAAUCAUGAGGCAGGCAUUGGACUUUCCUUAAAUUAUGAAAUGGGGGUUGAGAAAACUUUCUUAAGCAAGG